AGGUUGAAGUCCCGAUAGUCUCGGGAUGGAGGACCGACCGGUAAACGUUGAAAAAGUUUUCGGAUGACCUGUGGGUAGGGGUGAAAAGGCUAAUCAAAACUCGGAGAUAGCUCGUACUCCCCGAAAUGUAUUUAGGUACAGCGUCGCGGAGUGGGUCUAGGAGGUAGAGCUACCAAUAGGGCUAGGGGGCCUCACCGCCUACCAACCCCUGAUGAACUCCGAAUGCCUAGACCCAGCAGCGGCAGUGAGGCCCUGGGUGAGAAGGUCCAGGGCCGAGAGGGGAACAACCCAGACCACCGGCCAAGGCCCCCAAGUGCGGGCUAAGUUGAAAAAACGAGGUGGGGAUGCACUGACAGCUAGGAUGUUGGCUUGGAAGCAGCCAUUCAUUCAAAGAGUGCGUAACAGCUCACUAGUCGAGCGUCCCUGCGCGGAAAAUAAUCGGGCU
rnacentral:rRNA from 1 species